UGUGCCAGCAGCCGCGGUAAUACGUGGGGAGCAAGCGUUGUCCGGAAUCACUGGGCGUAAAGAGUGCGUAGGCGGGGACAUAAGUCGGACGUGAAAGCUCCUGGCUCAACUAGGAGAGGUCGUUCAAAACUGCCUGGCUAGAGGGCGACAGAGGGAGGUGGAAUUCCCGGUGUAGUGGUGAAAUGCGUAGAUAUCGGGAGGAACACCAGUGGCGAAGGCGGCCUCCUGGGUCGCCCCUGACGCUCAGACGCGAAAGCUAGGGGAGCAAACGGGAUUAGAUACCCCGGUAGUCCUAGCCGUAAACGAUGUGGACUUGGCGUUGGUGGGGUCAAAUCCAUCAGUGCCGGAGCUAACGCGAUAAGUCCACCGCCUGGGGACUACGGUCGCAAGGCUAAAACUCAAAGGAAUU
rnacentral:rRNA from 1 species